GUCAGGACACUCACAUCAGGUGACCCAACCGAAGUGAACAGACGGACUGCUUGGACACGACAUCUAGGAAACUGUUUGUGAUGCAGAAAUCUGAGGCACAAACGCACCGGCGUAUCCUGAGAAGAAUGACACCACUUAUUCCCCACACACAUCCCUCGUUUUUCUGCCCCUUGAGAGAAGCCAUCAGUCAUUACUGUCAGCAGUGAAGUUCCACCAUCAUCAUCAUCAUCAUCAUCAUCAUCAUGGUUUCAUUCAUUUCCACCCCCCGGCGUCCUGAAACAGAGACCGGACGACUGAUGAGUGGCUGAGAUCAACAGGUGAUCAUAAUCCCUUACCAUUCACCCACAUGAAGAUGCUAGAAUCCCCAUGUAGU
rnacentral:lncRNA from 1 species